rnacentral:rRNA from 1 species
AAAUUGAAGAGUUUGAUCAUGGCUCAGAUUGAACGCUGGCGGCAGGCCUAACACAUGCAAGUCGAACGGUAACAGGAAGCAGCUUGCUGCUUCGCUGACGAGUGGCGGACGGGUGAGUAAUGUCUGGGAAGCUGCCUGAUGGAGGGGGAUAACUACUGGAAACGGUGGCUAAUACCGCAUAACGUCGCAAGACCAAAGAGGGGGACCUUCGGGCCUCUUGCCAUCAGAUGUGCCCAGAUGGGAUUAGCUAGUUGGUGAGGUAACGGCUCACCAAGGCGACGAUCCCUAGCUGGUCUGAGAGGAUGACCAGCCACACUGGAACUGAGACACGGUCCAGACUCCUACGGGAGGCAGCAGUGGGGAAUAUUGCACAAUGGGCGCAAGCCUGAUGCAGCCAUGCCGCGUGUAUGAAGAAG